GAUUUCUGGCUUGAAACAUUUUGCCGGCCGCGGUUUCGCGUGUUAGUGCUUGAUGUUCUGGCCAUCCUUCCAAUCGCUGUGUACCUUUCUUCAUUGAUUGGUGCAUGGUAUUGGAUCUUUUACUUUGAAAAAAUUAGAGUGUUUCAAGCAGGCUUUAUGCUAUGAAUACAUUAGCAUGGAAUAAUAAUUUAGGACUUCGGUUCUAUUUUGUUGGUUUCUAGGACUGAAGUAAUGAUUGAUAGGGAUAGUUGGGGGUGCUCUAGGGAUAGUCCCGCAGGACGAGAUAGUCCCGUUGGACGAGAUAGUCCCGUUGGACGAGAUAGUCCCGUUGGACGAGAUAGUCCCGCUGGACGAGAUAGUCCCGCUGGAGUAUUCAGCGGCCAGAGGUGAAAUUCUCGGAUUCGCUGAAGACUAACUUAUGCGAAAGCAUU
rnacentral:rRNA from 1 species